GACGAACGCUGGCGGCCUGCCUAACACAUGCAAGUAGAACGCAGUUGCGAACGGGUGAGUAACGCGUAGGUAACUGCCUCAUAGCGGGGGAUAACGACUGGAAACGAUAGCUAAUACCGCAUACUGUGAGACGGAUCUGCGUUGGAUUAGAUAGUUGGCGAGGUAAAGGCUCACCAAGGCGACGAUACAUAUCCGACCUGAGAGGGGGAUCGACCACACUGGGACUGGAACACGGCCCAAACUCCUGCGGUGAGCCACCGUAGGGAAUCUUCGGGCAUGGACGGAAGUCUGACCGCGCUCCGCAGCUUGAGUGAAGAAGUUUUUCGGAUCGUGAAGCUCUGUUGUUAGGGGAGCGGUACCUUACCAGAAAGGGCCGGCUAACUACGUGCCAGCAGCCGCGGUAAUUC
rnacentral:rRNA from 1 species